rnacentral:rRNA from 1 species
CCUACGGGAGGCUGCAGUGAGGAAUAUUGGUCAAUGGACGAGAGUCUGAACCAGCCAAGUAGCGUGAAGGAUGACUGCCCUAUGGGUUGUAAACUUCUUUUAUAAAGGAAUAAAACGAGGCACGUGUGCCUUUUUGCAUGUACUUUAUGAAUAAGGAUCGGCUGACUCCGUGCCAGCAGCCGCGGUAAUACGGAGGAUCCGAGCGUUAUCCGGAUUUAUUGGGUUUAAAGGGAGCGUAGAUGGGUUGUUAAGUCAGUUGUGAAAGUUUGCGGCUCAACCGUAAAAUUGCAAUUGAUACUGGCAGUCGUGAGUACAGUUGAGGUAGGCGGAAUUCGUGGUGUAGCGGUGAAAUGCUUAGAUAUCACGAAGAACCCCGAUUGCGAAGGCAGCUUACUAAACUGUGACUGACAUUGAUGCUCGAAAGUGUGGGUAUCAAACAGGAUUAGAUACCCUUGUAGUC